rnacentral:rRNA from 1 species
UAACGGCCCACCAAAGGCGACGAUCAGUAGCCGGCCNGAGAGGGUGAACGGCCACAUUGGGACUGAGACACGGCCCAAACUCCUACGGGAGGCAGCAUG